GGGGUUUUAGCUCAGUUGGGAGAGCGCUACGCUGGCAGUGUAGAGGUCACCGGUUCGAGCCCGGUAAGCUCCACCA
rnacentral:tRNA from 1 species